UUAUUUCUGCGCCGAGUUUUAUUUAAUUCGAAAUAAUUAGUCGGCCGAUUGGGGAUAAAAAACAUUAUCUCCACAGUCACAUUAGUUUGAGCAGUCGAAAAAAGAGCGGGGAGAAAAGACGAAGCGAAAUAAAACGCAACCAACGCCUAAGUACCUAUGAAGAUAA